ACAUCGGUGGUUCAGUUGGUAGAAUGCACGCGGGCGGCCCGGGUUCGAUUCCCGGCCGAUGCA
rnacentral:tRNA from 1 species